UUUGAUCUCGCGGCUCAGAGAUUGAACGCUGGCGGGAUGCUUUACACGCCUGGUCUGAACGUUCGCUGGACUCGGUCUGGUGGCGGAAAUUGCCGUAGAACGGUGCGAGUAAUCAUAUCGGAACGUGCCUAAUGUGAGGAUAACUACGCGAAAGCGUAGCUAAUACCACAUACGCCCUUCGAGGAAAGCGAGACCUUCGGGCCUCACUAUUAAACGGCCGAUAUCGGAUUAGCUAGUUGGUGGGGUAACGGCUCGCAAGGCGACGAUCCGUAGCUGGUUUGAGAGGACGACCAGCCACACUGGGACUGAGACCUGGCCCGAACUCCUACGGGAGGCAGCAGUGAGAAUUUUGGACAAUGGGGGAAACCCUGAUCCAGCCAUCCCGCGUGUGCGAUGAAGGCCGCUUCGGGUUGUAAAGCACUUUUGGCAGGAAAGAAACGGCACGGGAUAAUACCCCGUGCAACUGACCAGUACCUGCAGAAUAAGCACCGGCUAACUACGUGCCAGCAGCCGCGAUAUGUACGUAGGGUGCAAGCGUUAAUCGGAAUUACUGGGCGUAAAGCGUGCGCGGGCAGUUCAGAAAAGAUCAACAAAUCAGGCUUAACACGAUUAACGCAACUACUGGCUGGUGUGGCUGAAGGAGGUGGAAUUGCGAUGUAGCAGUGAAAUGCGUAGAUAUGCCGGAGGAACACCGAUAGCGAGCGGUAUCACUGGGAUAACACUGACGCUCAUGCACGAAAACGUGGGAGCAAACAGGAUUAGAUACCCUGGUAGUCCACGCCUAAACGAUGUCAACUAGCUGUUGGGAGCCUUCGGGCCUUGUGGCGCAACUAACGUGAAGUUGACCGCCUGGGGAAGUACGGUCGCAAGAUUAAAACUCAAAGGAAUUGACAGGGACCCGCACCAAGCGGUGGAUGAUGUGGAUUAAUUCGAUGCAACAUGAAAAACCUUACCACGCCGACAUGUCUGGAAUCCAGAAGUUGGGUGCUCGCCAGAACCGGAACACAAGGUGCUUUCACGCAACAUUGAUCAGCUCGUGUCGUAGGAUGUUGGGUUAAGUCCACAGCGAGCUGUGCCAAUCAUUCAGUUGCUGCAAAAGGGCACUCUAAUGAGACUGCCGGUGACCAUUGCGGAAGGUGGGGAUGACGUCAAGUCCUCAUAUGUACCAUAGGUGAGGCUUCACACGUCAUGCAAUGGUCGGGUUGGAGGGUCGCCACUUCACCGAGAGGAGCCAAUCCAGAAACCCGAUCGUAGUCGGAUCAUGAUCUGCGGCUCGACUGCGUGAAGUCGAAUCGCUAGUAAUCCCGCGGAUCAGCAUGUCGCGGUGAAUACGUUCCCGGGUCUUGUACACACCGCCCGUCACACCAUGGGAGUGGGUUUUACCAGUAGUUGGCCUAACCGCACGAGAGGCGAUUACCACGGUAGGAUUCAUGACUGGGGUGAAGUCGUAACAAUUAACCCCUGUUUAUACCUGA
rnacentral:rRNA from 1 species